rnacentral:rRNA from 1 species
AUUGAACGCUGGCGGCAGGCCUAACACAUGCAAGUCGAGCGGAUGACGGGAGCUUGCUCCUUGAUUCAGCGGCGGACGGGUGAGUAAUGCCUAGGAAUCUGCCUGGUAGUGGGGGACAACGUUUCGAAAGGAACGCUAGUACCGCAUACGUCCUACGGGAGAAAGCAGGGGACCUUCGGGCCUUGCACUAUCAGAUGAGCCUAGGUCGGAUUAGCUAGUUGGGGGGGUAAUGGCUCACCAAGGCGACGAUCCGUAACUGGUCCGAGAGGAUGAUCAGUCACACUGGAACUGAGACACGGUCCAGACUCCUACGGGAGGCAGCAGUGGGGAAUAUUGGACAAUGGGCGAAAGCCUGAUCCAGCCAUGCCGCGUGUGUGAAGAAGGUCUUCGGAUUGUAAAGCACUUUAAGUUGGGAGGAAGGGCAGUAAGUUAAUACCUUGCUGUUUUGACGUUACCGACAGAAUAAGCACCGGCUAACUCUGUGCCAGCCGCCGCAGUAA